AACGAACGCUGGCGGCAUGCCUAACACAUGCAAGUCGAACGAUGCCUUCGGGCAUAGUGGCGCACGGGUGCGUAACGCGUGGGAAUCUGCCCUUGGGUUCGGAAUAACUCAGAGAAAUUUGAGCUAAUACCGGAUGAUGACGUAAGUCCAAAGAUUUAUCGCCCAAGGAUGAGCCCGCGUAAGAUUAGCUAGUUGGUGGGGUAAAGGCCUACCAAGGCGACGAUCUUUAGCUGGUCUGAGAGGAUGAUCAGCCACACUGGGACUGAGACACGGCCCAGACUCCUACGGGAGGCAGCAGUGGGGAAUAUUGGACAAUGGAGGCAACUCUGAACCAGCCAUGCCGCGUGCAGGAUGACGGCCCUAUGGGUUGUAAACUGCUUUUGUACCAGAGAAAACCUACUCACGUGUGAGUAGCUGAUAGUAUGGUAAGAAUAAGCAUCGGCUAACUUCGUGCCAGCAGCCGCGGUAAAGUAG
rnacentral:rRNA from 1 species